GCGAAGCAGUAGCAGUUCAUGGAGCUGCCCUUCACAAACCUUGAAGUAGCUUUCAUCUUGCUGGCUUUUGUCAUUUUCACCUUGUUUACCCUGGCUUCUAUCUACAGUGACUCCCAUGACAACAAAGAAGAGGAAAGCCUCACACAGGAAGAAUACAAGAAAAGGAGAAAAUCCAACAAGAAAAAGAAGCAUUCAAAUAUGACUGAAGUGGUUUAGAAUACUACCCAAUCCGCUGUUGGAGACAUUUCUGAAAGAGGUGUAUGUGGAUGCUGGCCACCUGAAGACAGUGAGAAAACGGAUGUGAGAAAGGAAGGACCUGGUCAUCCAUCAGAUGGAAUCCAGACGUGACAAUCAGAGUUAAUGAACCACGACCCAUGAAGCUGCUUCAGCACCUUUUUACAGCCCCACUUCAUGGCCUUCAUAAAAGUACUAGGGCUUAUUUCACAGAGCACAUCUGCUCUAAAUUCCCAAGGAGAAACUUGCAUUCAGAAGUUAUUUUUGUUUCUUCACCACUUUUCAGUCAUUUAUAAAGAAUAUUUAACAGCAGUGUAUUUACUUUACUACCUGUUCAGUCAACAGAAUAUUGGAAUUGGAAGAAAAAUUUUACAAUAAAAAAUAUUAUUGCAGCUGUUA